UGGGAACGUGCCUUUUGGUUCGGAACAACACAGGGAAACUUGUGCUAAUACCGGAUAAGCCCUUACGGGGAAAGAUUUAUCGCCGAGAGAUCGGCCCGCGUCUGAUUAGCUAGUUGGUGAGGUAACGGCUCACCAAGGCGACGAUCAGUAGCUGGUCUGAGAGGAUGAUCAGCCACACUGGGACUGAGACACGGCCCAGACUCCUACGGGAGGCAG
rnacentral:rRNA from 1 species